GGCUCGGUGCUCUCGUGCUCGUGCAGCGAUCCAGACUUUCUCGGCGAAGAAAUUACUUUAACCUCGAUAGAGCCGCGAGACGCUGCGUCGAGGCAAUCGGCGAACGAAUCUGGAAUCGGGAACCCCUGGAUUCCCGAAGGAACUCGAGACAUCCACGCUCUGACGGCUGAUCGACAUUAGGGGAUGCAUCGUCGAUUUCCUUCUUGGAAUCUGCUCCACAGAUUAUUCCAGGGACGAUCGGAGAGAGUUCGAACUGCAGAGCGCAGCUGUCGAGUACGAAGCACGCGGAUACUGGCGAAAUACCUCGACGAUUGAACAGUUUCCCAGCCAGAAAAAUCACAGAGGCUAAUUGAGAGAGGCUCGAGGAGACCGAGACGGAAAGUAGGGGGUGGAUUGCAGAACGCGGAACAAAGGCCGCGGCGCUGUUUUAUUCGAAUCGAGAGAAGUUAUUCGCGAAAGAAUUCAUGGGCCUUCUAGGAAAUUCCGGCGAGCCUCGAGUAG